rnacentral:rRNA from 1 species
GUUAUCCGGAUUUAUUGGGUUUAAAGGGUCCGUAGGUGGACCAUUAAGUCAGAAGUGAAAUCCCGCGGCUCAACCGCGGAACUGCUUUUGAUACUGGUGGUCUUGAGUGUGCUCGAAGUUGGCGGAAUAUGACAUGUAUCGGUGAAAUGCUUAGAUAUGUCAUAGAACACCGAUUGCGAAGGCAGCCAACUAAGUCACAACUGACACUGAGGGACGAAAGCGUGGGGAGCGAACAGGAUUAGAUACCCUGGUAGUCCACGCCGUAAACCAUGAAUACUCGCUAUUG